AAAUUUUUUCUAGAAGUUCAAUGGCUCAUAUCUCUGAAGCAAAUUAUCUAAUUAUUUAUUUAAAGUAUUAAUAUAUCUUUAAAAACUUUCUCAAUAAAUUUCAACUAAAAAUUCAUUUUAAAUCUUAAGAUAUCACUAAAAUCCUAACAAUAGCUUCAAAUCCUUGUUUACAUAUACAUACAUGCAAUUUUCUUUAUAUCUCACAAACUAAGAAUUCGAAUAUAAUAAAAAUUGGUAUAUAACUUUUGAACCUAAUAAUUCACAUUUUUAGAAAUUUUGAACAAAAAAUUCAUCCAAAAAUUCAAGAUAUGGCUCUAAUCAUUACUUUCAACAAAAUGAUUUACUUAUUGCUUUUGAUUUACAUAUGAUUUCUUCAAAUUUCUAUAGCUCCUUCAUACAAACUCCAAA
rnacentral:lncRNA from 1 species